UUAUCCGGAUUUAUUGGGUUUAAAGGGUGCGUAGGCGGUUUGAUAAGUUAGAGGUGAAAUCCCGGGGCUUAACUCCGGAACUGCCUCUAAUACUGUUAGACUAGAGAGUAGUUGCGGUAGGCGGAAUGUAUGGUGUAGCGGUGAAAUGCUUAGAGAUCAUACAGAACACCGAUUGCGAAGGCAGCUUACCAAACUAUAUCUGACGUUGAGGCACGAAAGCGUGGGGAGCAAACAGGAUUAGAUACCCUGGUAGUCCACGCAGUAAACGAUGAUAACUCGUUGUCGGCGAUACACAGUCGGUGACUAAGCGAAAGCGAUAAGUUAUCCACCUGGGGAGUACGUUCGCAAGAAUGAAACUCAAAGGAAUUGACGGGGGCCCGCACAAGCGGAGGAACAUGUGGUUUAAUUC
rnacentral:rRNA from 1 species